CUGGGGGUUAUCAGGAAAUAAGGAAGAAAGGCCCACAUGUCAGGUUUACAUAGAGAUAUUAACGUGCCGCGCAAUUUUCUAUCAUCUAGAAGAGUCCAGAAGCCACGGGAACGAACGAGAGGCCGAACGGGCCCGGGGGCAGGGCGCACGCCGUCCCCCCUUGGGCGCCCGCCCUAGUACAAGCACCAAUCACAGAAUGGAGUACACCUUUACAAAGAUCUCGUCGAGCUUAUCGAAAUGC
rnacentral:lncRNA from 1 species